rnacentral:lncRNA from 1 species
CCUUCUUCUUCUUUAGGAAUGUCAUUUUCUUCUCCUUCUUUUCCUUCUUUUCUUUUUUUCCUUCUUCUCAUUCUCAUCAUUAUCACUAUUAAUAUGGACAUUUCGCUACAACAUGAUCCUUGCUCUUGCAUUUGUAGCAUCUUCUCACAUAUUCUUUGCUCUUGUUUUUAUCUCUUCUCUUUCUAACAUCAUAUCCCUUCUUCUUCAUGAAUUUACCAAACUUGCACACAAAGAGAGCUAGUGCUUCAUCGUCAAUGUCAUUAACUUCCUCAUCUUCACUUUAUUCUUCUUUAUUUGCUUUGCCCUUGCUCUUAGAUCAACUAGCCUUGAAUGCUACACUUUUCUUUUUCUUGUCUUCAUCCUUCUUCUCAUCUUAGUCAACCCUUUCCCUUUCCACACGGUAUGUUUCUUGUGUCAUGACAUCACCUAGUACUUGGUUAGGGGUAAGUUCUUUCAAUCCUCCUCUUAUAAUAAUUAAUCUUAGUGUCUCAAACCUUGGUUAGGGGUAUGUUUCUUGUGUCAUGACAUCACCUAGUGCUUGCUCCUAGGAUUCUUUAGUAUUUCGACUUAAAAAUACUAGUAAGUUCUUGUUUUAUUGUUCUUUGGUUUAUGAGUUUACUUUAAUCUCUUCGCGUAGAGUUUGGAGUAAUCAUCUCUAGCAUAGACGUGGUGUUUGGGCUAGGAUACUCAUAGAUAUCUCCUGACUAGCUGGACCGUGGUAGUAGCGAGGAACGUGAGAUUUCUGAGUUACCUUUGCAGCCCAUAUCCCGUUAGUAGGAUCGAUAGGGUUUAUAGGUGCGGGUUGAACAUCCUCUGUGGUGUCUAGAUUCUGUGAGCCUCCCCAACAGAAUAUUAGAUUUCCUUACCA